rnacentral:rRNA from 1 species
GAGUUUGAUCGUGGCUCAGGACGAACGCUGGCGGCGUGCUUAACACAUGCAAGUCGAACGAGAAUCUACUGAAAGAGUUUUCGGACAAUGGAAGUAGAGGAAAGUGGCGGACGGGUGAGUAACGCGUGAGGAACCUGCCUUGAAGAGGGGACAACAGUUGGAAACGACUGCUAAUACCGCAUGAUGCAUAAGGGUCGCAUGAUUCUUAUGCCAAAGAUUUAUCGCUUCAAGAUGGCCUCGCGUCUGAUUAGCUAGUUGGCGGGGUAACGGCCCACCAAGGCGACGAUCAGUAGCCGGACUGAGAGGUUGAACGGCCACAUUGGGACUGAGAUACGGCCCAGACUCCUACGGGAGGCAGCAGUGGGGAAUAUUGGGCAAUGGGCGCAAGCCUGACCCAGCAACGCCGCGUGAAGGAAGAAGGCUUUCGGUAUGUAAACUUCUAUCAGCAGGGAAGAAAAUGACGGUACCUGACUAAGAAGCCCCGGCUAACUACGUGCCAGCCGCCGCGGUAAU